rnacentral:other from 2 species
CGGGCGCUGCGUGGCGCGUUAGGUUGCUUCAUCCCUCGGGCCAAUAGUUUCCUGUUGGGAACCGUCCCUGCCGGGGCCGUGGUUUCGGUAUAUGGUGUCCACCUGCAUUGCAGGCUCAAGAGGAUGUCCAUGACCCAACGGCCAGCGCGGCCCCGCC